GAGAGAGAGAGAGAGAGAGCGUAGUAAAGCUAGCAGCUUGUCAUCCAGUGGAGUGGGUUAGAUACCUAUAGAGGACCCAAAGCCAGAAGAAAAAGAAGGGAAGAGUACUAUAAGGGUAAUAAAAAUUAACUUUUUGUGUAAUAGAAUAGAGAAGAAGGGAUUUUUGGAUUGUAGCGUUGGGAUCCAAUUAAUUAAUUGAUUGAUUACGUUAGAUGGCUGUCCUUGUGGAGUGGGACAUGCGGAUGCUGUCCUUCAAUUGAAUCAGUGAUACAUGAGCUGGGGCAAGAAGUUGCAGGGAAAAAAGGUGGUCAAGUUUGGGCACUCUCAGCCACCCACCUACU
rnacentral:misc_RNA from 1 species